GCCAGGGGGUGGGCGGGUGUGUGUGCUACACUUGGAUGAAUCCUUCAGUCUCCAGUCUCUUCCUCACCUAACUCUGUGGGUGGCCAUUGUUCUGUCACCUAUGGCUCCCAGUGCAUUUUGCAGAUGAAAACAAAAAAGUAGAGAAAAAGGAAAUGAAUUCCAGGAGAUCACACAGCUUGUAGCCAAUGGAGUCAAGAUCAGAGCCAAUGAAGACUUGGCUCCAAAGUCCCGAUUACCCCUGUACUACCUCUCACCAGAUGCCCAUCUCUUCAAAUCUACCCCCCGCCCCCACCUUUUUUCAGGGUUGGGGAUCUGCAGACAAGAAAACAAGAGGCUCCUUAUGUCUUCCAGCAAAUCCUGACUAGGAGUUAAACACAAACUACUAGAGAGAUUCCCUUGGGAAAUAGGUCAAGGAUGGGCUUAGAGAAAGAAAAAAACAGAUAAAGAAAGGUACCAGAUGGCCUUGGGACGUGCACCAAGAGACCAGAAAAAGAGCUGACAGGCAGAACACAGAGAGAAAGCCAGGCACACAAAUGAUACUCCAAUAAAAUAUAGGGGAAGGCGUGUGUGUAUGUGACUAAGGCAGGAUGUACUCAAACCUCUGCACUAACAUCUUCACGUAUACACGUGUGUUCACUCUGGAGUCAUUAUUCACUCUAGGGUCAUUACAGAGUAUAACAGAUAUCCACUCUACAUUAUUCACUCUAGGGUCAUUACAGAGUAUAACAGAUAUCCACAUGUCUCCUUACUAACUCUAACCUAACUAUUAAUAAGACACCCCCUAACUAGCUGCUCACAGCAAAGAUAAGGCCUUAAAAGGUAGUUCAAGGACAAGAAAACAGACAGAAAGAAGCUGCCCAUAGACCACUGGAAGAAAUGAUGGAGGGCAGAGGUGCCCGGAAGCCAAUUCAGUAAUGGCAAGUUGAGGGGAGAGGGGGCGGCCUCUAAACCCACCCCCCAUAAAAGUAGCUGAGGACAAAAGCCCAUGGGUCCUCCAUCUCUGUGGAAUCCCCUGCCCUGAUUCUUUCUUAUCAGGGUAACUAUCUUCUUUCCUCCUUCCUUUUUCUCUUUAUGAGUAAAGUG